GCCGGGCACGGUGGCGCGCGCCUGUAAUCCCAGCUCCUCCGGGAGGCUGAGGUCGGCGGAUCGUGGAUGCUCGGGGGUUCGGGACUAAGGCGCUGUGUGGAGCGGGCGUCCGCACCAGGCAUGGCACCAACAUGGGGCUCCUGGGGGAGCCCGGGGGCACCAGGUUGUCUAAGGAGGGGGGGACCCGGCCCAGGUCGGAAACGGAGCAGGUCAAACUCCCCGUGCUGGGCGGCGGUGGGAUCGCGCCUGCGAGCAGUGUCCUCAGUUCCGCCCGAGACGUCCGACGAGACCCGGUCUCUU
rnacentral:SRP_RNA from 1 species